GUAGUGUUUUCAUAAGCGAGUGCCGUGUUCAUAAAAAAGUAACAAGCAGGAACAAGAAAGCAGGAGGAGGAGGACCAGGGUGACAACGGGCAACGGCGGAGCAACCACAAAGUCGACGUUGAAAACUCCGCUGCUGCGCAUCGUGUGUCGGUGAGUGACAAAUUUUAUUUUAAUCCAGUAAUAAAUCUCUGUUAAAUAUAUUGACAGACAUUUAUUACUCCAGAUAUUGAUAGAGAUCAAAUUUAAAAUAGAUGCGCUACGCGCUGAUAUCCAUAUUUAAUCCUGGAAAGUAUUUCGAGCCAACAAUUUAUUGCACGUAAAUAUACACUUCAGUACGUAAAAUGAAACUCGUUAUAUUAAUCUGUUAGCGCGUAUUUUGGUGAACGUUACGAAAAAAGCAUAGAGUUCGUAAAUUAUAUUUCACUCGUCUGAGAUUUGUAGAAUAAAUAUGCGCGUGUAAAAAAAUAUAUUCUUAUACAAUUUUUGCCGAGCGCUUACACCCGCAAAAUUUUCAAAAAAUUGAGAAUAUCCGGAGAUAUUUUUCAUUAUAAACUUUAUUAUAUAUAAAAUAUAAAAAAUAAUUGCACUUUUCAGUACUUACAUUAUAACUUUUAAAUUAAAUUAAAUUUUUGAGUUUAUUACUUAUUUACAAGACAGUGAAAUAAAACGUACGUCUAUUAAUCUGGCACAGCCAUUUCCGCACAAUCAAAUGCGACUUAUACAGGAAUUAUUUGCUAUUUUCUUGCUAAUUUUUUGGUCUAUUUACGAUUUUUUAGCGAAACGGCUAAAAAUGCUAAAUGGGACAAAAAAUCAGUAAAAAGUAGCACUACUAAAAUGCGUAUUUGUUUUCUAAUUUUCUUCUUUUUUCUUAAUGACUGUGCUAAUUUUAAUCUUAAGCUAGCACAGCCGUUGUUUUUAGUAAAAUGACUGGAAUAAAAAAAUCGUAAAUAGAGCAAAAAAGUUAGCAAAAAGAUAAUAAAUAAUUCCUAUAUGUCACAUUUGAUUAUGCUAAAAUGGCUGUGCUAGCUAAUAAACGUACUAAAUCCUGGCGAGAUUUUUCGAGCCGAGUUAUUUUAAAGAAUUUACUCCCCUCCACCUUUCCCGCUCGUCAAAAAUUAGAAGUCCUCUAUCGAAAAAGUUAUCGUACAGUCUAUUUCUAUAAAACGUUUCGCUACAUUUUUUUAAAACUUCAAGGUGAUCGCUAGUGGUGUUUCUUUACCACCCAGCGUCAACCUUGCGGUAGUGUGUAUCGAUCCGCGAUUACAAGCGCGCUCGAAAUUCUAAGGACCUCGAAAAACGCGACACGUGCGCGCGCAAGGGAGUUGGGACAAAUUGCCGAUAUAAUCGGUUGUACACGUGCCAGACCUGAUAUUUGAAACAACGCUGGCUCUGCACAGAUAGAGCGUGACUGUCCGACGCCCCGCGGAGUGUAUUUACAAAAUCGUGCGCGUAUAAACAACACUCGCAUCGAGCCGUUAUUUGCGAGUCAAAUAACGCGUGAAUCGAAUGGAAAUCGUGGGAGUGCGAAAAAAGAGAAGUUUUGCAUCAUCACAAAUAGGAUACUUUCUCUCUCUCUCUCUCUCUCUCUCUCUCUCUCUCUCUCUC